GAUUCCGGACAAGUAAAUCUCUUUGGGGAUCAGUAAACUUUGAAAAAAUAUUUUGAUAAAAUGUGAGAAAAGAAACUCCCUGCACACCUUUACAAGUGGUUGGGUGGUGCAAACUGGCCUGAGAGAAGCAGGAAGAAUAGUGUUUUUUAUCUUAUGUACAGAACAUCAACCAGUCUUUUUGACUGGUAAAUAAUAACUUUUUUAUUUAGCCCUCUACAAACAUGGCUUUAUAUUGUACUUUGACAUGUAUAGCACAGCAGCAAAUAAAAAAUGAGCCCAGGUUGUCAUUAUGUCAUUAUGGAAUUUUGUAAAUUAAACAUGAUUAUUUCAGAUUUGCAGUGUAGUUGUAGAAAAGUUUCUGUGCCACAGCAGCUUAACUUCUUUGGUCCUCAGGUCUCAAAGGCAGGUAUAUCUCUGUGUUGUCUGUGUAGCAGUGAAAGAAGACCUUUUGAUUCUGAAUUGUUUGAAUAAGGAGUAGCAUGUAAAUAGAAAAUAAAACUGGACCUAAAACUGAACCUUGCAGUACAGCGCAGGUGAGACUAGAGGUGGAGGAGGAAUGGUUACCUUUGGUGACUGCAAAGGUUUGCUCUAAAAGAUAGGAGGAAAACCAGCUAAGCGCAGUGUCUCUGAAGCCCACCCAGUCUCUAAGCAGUAUAAUUUAAAUAGGAUGAUCAGCAGUAUCAAAUGCUGCACUGAGAUCUGAAUAAAUAAAAUGGCUCCCUCUCCUCUAUCUGCUGUUAAAAACAAAUCAUUGGUCACUUUGAAGUCGGCCAUCUCAGUGCUGUGACCUGCUCUUAAACCAGACUGGAAUUUCUCAAAGAUUAUAAUCUAUUAUGAGACACGAAAGAUAAAAGUGAAGUAGAAACCACCUUCUCUAAAACCUUGGAUAUAAAAGGAAGUUUUAAAAUUGGUCUAAAAUCAGAGGCGUCAAGGUUAGAUUUCUUUAAAAGUGCGUGUUUAAAAACAGAGGGAAGUAUAUCUUCUGCCAAAGAACUAUUGAUUAUUGAUAAAAUGCUGGGUUUAACCAUCUUAAAAACCUCUUCCUUCUCGUCAAGGAAGACAUGCAGCAGAUGCAGUAUUGAUAGGGCAACUUGUCUGCUCUGGAUGGUGCUUGUUGGCUUUUUUUUUUUUUUUUUGUUUAAAAUGACAUAAGAUGUGUGUCAGGUGUGGUCAUCUGCAGAUGCAUCAGCCAACCCCUUCAUUGUUACAUAACAAGGCCAGUAGUACAAUGCGUAACCUUGUAUCUCAUUCUCAAUCCUGAAAUAUGAUCACACAUUUUUAGUUUAUUAUUACAUAACCAUAUGAAACAAUAGGUGCAUUUAAUCUUUGCUGCGGUUGCACUAGAGUGAAGUAUGCUUUGUUUCCCUUCGGUCACACAUACCUCCCUAUAUCUGUUACAAUCUCUGUUCCGCCAACUAACACCCAACUAUUAUCUCACAGGCAGGUUUAAAUUUUGGCUACGGACCAGAAACUUCCUUGCAGGAAGUUUCAAUGAUAGUACACUCAUUCAAAGAAAAAGGAGUGUUUUGUACUAUUGUUAUACAACAUUGUUAUAAUGAUGUGGCUCAGCUUGGACAAUCAAAUCAGUUUAAGUAAUUAAUGCAGUCAUUCAUGUAAGAACUGAUUCAAAUUUUCCCCAGAGCUAAUUUAGUUUUCCUAAAGUUGGGUACAAAAAACACUUUAAGGUGUGUGGAAAAAAGGGCUGCUUAAGCUGUACUUAGCCAUGUGCUGAGUGAUAGUUGCCAAAUAUUUGCAGGCCAGUAAUUGCACACAAAGAUGGUAAAUUUCUCAAACAUAAAAUAAAAGAAACAGGGCGGCACAGGCAGUGUACGUGCCUCACGGCAACAAGGUUGUUGGUUCGAUCCCUGGGUUGGGCAGGGCCUUUCUGCGUGAAGUUUGCAUGUUCUUUCCGAGCAUGUGAGUUUUCUCCGGGGCACAAACAUGCUCAUCAGGUUAAUUGGCGACUCUAAAUUGCCCCUCGGUAUGAGUGUGAGUGUGAGUAGUUGGGACAGGCUCCAGCCCACCCACGACCCCGAAAGGGCUAAGUGAUAUAGAAGAUGAAUGAAAAUAAAAGAAAAAAACACCUUAAAAUCAUAUUUACAGUCCAGCUGAGAGACUGUUUGGUACUUUGUCAAGUAAGAGAGCCAAAUUUGAAAAUCUUGAUGAAAUGAUAAAAAUUGUGAAAAUAUGGCCAACAUAAAACCAAAAAGGACGUUUGAAAAGUUACAGCCAUAGACUGUAUAAAGAAUGGACAGAGUCUGCCUCCUCGCUGGGUGAAGCCACUCCAGGAACAGCACCCUCUGAUGGUGGGCUGCAGUACAAGUCAUAAAUCCCGCCUCCGCCAGCAAAGCUUAUGGGACUGUGGACAAACUUUAGAAAUUUAUUACAAAGAACAUAAAUUUUUCUCCCCCCUGCUUGUGAUGUUGACAUGUAGUUAUUGUAAGACUAGUUUGUGCCCAAGUCCUUUUUUUUCUGUACAGCUCCGUUUUUAAAAGUUAUUAGGGGGUUCAUGUUUUCUAUGAUUGACACCUGGUACAGCCUAUGGGCGUUCAGGGAUUGCAUAGCUCACCCGGGGGGAUACGCUGUUUGAGCCGAGGGUCAUCACAGGGACUCUCGGCGACUGCGUGGCCGAAUGCGCGCAUCGCUACUGCGCAGCUUUGGUUUCAAGGAAGUGGAGAAAAACACAGAAUUACCGAGAGCUUUUUGCCUUCAAAUCCGUAAACAGGUGGAAGGCGGAACCAGGUUGUCCAUAGUAUAUACAGUCUAUGGUUACAGCCUUAAGAUGUGAUUUUCUAUAGUAAAAAUAUAAGUCCUGCCCUUGUCGUGCUGUAAAUGUUAGCUGGCUAACAUUCAUGUUAAAAAAUAAUGACUUUAAAGCUUAUUUAGGAAAAGAAUAUAUUCCCUCCCAAACCACAGCUGUAAAACUCAACUUUUCAAAUAAGAUGUUAGCUCUGUUUCUGUGGAAAUGUUGUGAUACUUACAUCAGUGAGCUACAGGCACUACCAUGGCUUAAGCAACAUGUUCAAACAAGGUGAAAUUUUUUUUGUUUUAAAAAUUUUGUAUGAAAAUCAAGAAUUUUCAUCUAGCGGAAAACUUGUAUAAGAAUUCAACAAACAAACAAACAGACAAACAAACAAACAGCCAUGAGUUCAGCCUUACAAGGCUUUUAGCACAGCUUUAAUUUGACGUACAUCUUAUUUUAUGAUUAUUUUUCAUUUUCAUUACUUAGAAUAAAGACAGAAUCGUUUUUGAAGGUUGAAAAAAAAAAAACAACUAAAAGUUCUUCUUCAAAAAUGUUACAUAAUAAACCAAUUUUUACCAAGCUUUGCUGUGGAAGCCAUAUCCCUAUGACUACAAGCUCGGGGUGAGAAACUCAAGUGUCGUCAUAAUGUGCUAUUGCUGUGUACCAGGUUAUUAAUCAUCUCAACCUUGAUGAAUGCAUUGUGGCAUUUUCAGCUCACAGACUGAGAAGCAACCUCAAAGAAAACAGAUCGUAAAAACCAGGAGACAGUGUGGUCAAAAGGACCCAUUUGACAGCCCAUCAGCUAACAUCAGAACAUGGCUGACUUUAGCAUUAAGCCACUCGUGUUUAUGUUGAUGUCUAUUUUAGUAUCAUGUUAGCUCUCAAACAGUAUACUGCUUAAAUCCUCUAUGAUCAUAGAGGAGACCCUGUUAGCUAUUAACCCUCAGGCUGUUACCAUGUCAACCACCAGAGCAUUUGUUUAUAUUGUAAUGUAUUGUUGGCUUGCUUGCAUGAUGUGAAAAUAGACACCAACAUAAACAUUAGCUCUACCAAAGCCUUGAACGAUAAAAUAAACAUUUUACUGGGAUGUCAUUGCUGUUUAGGAAGCGGCAUAAUGGAGAGGUAAUGCCUGACUCUCGUCCUGGUUCUCACAGUCUGUUGUCUUUGUGGAUUAUUGUCAGCAAAGAUACUGUAAAAAUAACACAUUCUGUAGGACUAUGAAGGUUUAAAUGGCUUACAACACAUAUUAUGUCAAUACAGGAGUUUCUCACUCUAAGCAUGGCAUCACAAGAAUAAGGUCACCAUGAGGAUAUGGUCUUGAGACUCCAUAGCAGGUAAUUUCCCACUUUUAAGGUAGGGAAGGAAGGAGGAAGCUUCACACAGCACAGUGUAUCAGUUGUUCUCUCUUAAAGUUAUAUGACUCAUGUGGAAGUCAUCUGCCUUUUUCUGUGUGUGCCUAUUUAGUAGGCGCUAUAAAAAAAUUUAAAAAAUCUACCAUUUUUCCAGCCAUCACUUUACUUUUUCAUGCUGUUCAGAUGAAGAAAUGUAUCCUUCUCAUCUUUGACAUCUUUAAGUCAUAUGGACCAGCUCCCUUUCCUCAUUAGGCCUGAUCCUUAUUCUACAAGCCAAUUCAUUUCACCUUGAGUGUUGCAUACCUGCAUACCACUUAGACGCUCAAGUGUAGAGGAAGAAAAGCAACUCCUUGUUUUUAUUAUACAGCAAAGCUUCCUUCUACUUGGUGUAACAAGGGUAGUAAUUUCUCAGAAAUUGUGCACCAUUGACACCCCCUUCACCUGUGCAACUUGAUGACACGCCGCUCACUCACUCACUCACAAAUGAUUAUAAUUCAAAAUGGCUUCAAAUGACAGCUUUCCCGUUAUGUUACAGUAUCUGUGUGACGAUCUUAUCCACAGCUUCCUUGUGGUAGUUUUAGGUCAUGGAUGUCUGUUAUCUUUUAUUGUUCAAUAAAGUUGUUGUUGAGAUAACACUCAUAAAAUCAAUCAGUGCGCACUAAUAAAGAGCACAAUAAACCGUGACAGUUUUCUGUUUCUGCUUUUGCUGUUUUGUUUUUAUCUAAAUGUAUGUUUCCCAAAGAGGAUAAUGAUGUAAAAUGUAAGAAUUUAUCUUUUCGAUUUUGCACUACCACCAAUGGUUAUCUAAAGGACGGUUCUCGAUGAAAGCCUGUCUAAUUUUAGGUAAAGACCAAGUCCAAGUCCUUGCUGUUUCCUUAAGAUGCGCCACACCUUUAUAAGUAGCGCCUUUCAAUUCUGGAGAAUGAGGUAAUGUUUGCCUGAAGCAGUCAACUCUGCGUGCGCCUGGUCACGUCCUCACCUGUGUGAUAUCGACUGUUUGUCUAUCCAUGGAUUUGUUCUUGUAACCUUUUACCCCCAAUACAGAUACACACAUAUACCUCUACCCACAUUCAAAUGCACAAACUUCAAC